rnacentral:rRNA from 1 species
GCGCGAAACCUCCUCAAUGCACUGAAGUGUGAAGGGGUUACCUCGAGUGCCAUCUGAAGAAGGUGGCUUUUCCUUGGUCUAAAUAGCCUUGGGAAUAAGAGGGGGGCAAGACUGGUGUCAGCCGCCGCGGUAACACCAGCCCCUCGAGUGGUGGGGAUGAUUAUUUGGCCUAAAGCGUCCGUAGCCGGCCGAGUAAGUUUCCCGUUAAAUCCAGCGUCUCAAGCGUUGGACUGCGGGAAAUACUGCCCGGCUAGAGAGUGGGAGAGGUGAGCGGUAUUCUGGGGGUAGGGCGAAAUCCUUUGAUCCCCGGAGGACCACCAGUGGCGAAGGCUGCUUACUAGAACACGUCUGACGGUCAGGGACGAAAGCUGGGGUA